rnacentral:rRNA from 1 species
GAUGAACGCUGGCGGCGUGCCUAAUACAUGCAAGUCGAGCGAACGGACGAGAAGCUUGCUUCUCUGAUGUUAGCGGCGGACGGGUGAGUAACACGUGGAUAACCUACCUAUAAGACUGGGAUAACUUCGGGAAACCGGAGCUAAUACCGGAUAAUAUUUUGAACCGCAUGGUUCAAACGUGAAAGACGGUCUUGCUGUCACUUAUAGAUUGAUCCGCGCUGCAUUAGCUAGUUGGUAAGGUAACGGCUUACCAAGGCAACGAUGCAUAGCCGACCUGAGAGGGUGAUCGGCCACACUGGAACUGAGACACGGUCCAGACUCCUACGGGAGGCAGCAGUAGGGAAUCUUCCGCAAUGGGCGAAAGCCUGACGGAGCAACGCCGCGUGAGUGAUGAAGGUCUUCGGAUCGUAAAACUCUGUUAUUAGGGAAGAACAUAUGUGUAAGUAACUGUGCACAUCUUGACGGUACCUAAUCAGAAAGCCACGGCUAACUACGUG